GGUCCGGUAAGACCCCUUUUUGGCCCCAAAAUAUAGCAGUUUUACAAAAUUGUUAAAAUGUAAACUUUUAUUUAUUAAUUGAACAGUAGAAUGCUUCUGUUACAUAAAUAUGGGCUGUUUAUGACAAUACAAUGCACAUAUAUCGGGUACAAGCACCAUUAAGUCAUGCUAAAUCACUGAAAUCUUCACAAUUCUAGCAUUUUAGUUAAAUUUUA
rnacentral:lncRNA from 1 species